UACGUAGGGUGCGAGCGUUGUCCGGAAUUACUGGGCGUAAAGAGCUCGUAGGUGGUUUGUCGCGUUGUCCGUGAAAACUCACAACUCAAUUGUGGGCGUGCGGGCGAUACGGGCAGACUGGAGUACUGCAGGGGAGACUGGAAUUCCUGGUGUAGCGGUGGAAUGCGCAGAUAUCAGGAGGAACACCGGUGGCGAAGGCGGGUCUCUGGGCAGUAACUGACGCUGAGGAGCGAAAGCUAGGGGAGCGAACUGG
rnacentral:rRNA from 1 species